UCUAAUAAAUUGGUUAACAACAGCCGGCAGUGGCGAUUUUGGUAUGGAAAUUCUGGUGGGGCCACACAAUAUUCACGCAAGAAAAUCUGAUGCAAUCCAAACAUAUUACCACUCUCAUAUCAUCACA